UACUAACGCUGGCGGCGUGCUUAACACAUGCAAGUCGAACGGAAAGGCCCUGCUUUUGUGGGGUGCUCGAGUGGCGAACGGGUGAGUAACACGUGAGUAACCUGCCCUUGACUUUGGGAUAACUUCAGGAAACUGGGGCUAAUACCGGAUAGGAGCUCCUGCUGCAUGGUGGGGGUUGGAAAGUUUCGGCGGUUGGGGAUGGACUCGCGGCUUAUCAGCUUGUUGGUGGGGUAGUGGCUUACCAAGGCUUUGACGGGUAGCCGGCCUGAGAGGGUGACCGGCCACAUUGGGACUGAGAUACGGCCCAGACUCCUACGGGAGGCAGCAGUGAGGAAUAUUGCACAAUGGGCGGAAGCCUGAUGCAGCAACGCCGCGUGCGGGAUGACGGCCUUCGGGUUGUAAACCGCUUUCGCCUGUGACGAAGCGUGAGUGACGGUAAUGGGUAAAGAAGCACCGGCUAACUACGUG
rnacentral:rRNA from 1 species